rnacentral:rRNA from 1 species
ACGCUGGCGGCACGCCUAACACAUGCAAGUCGAACGAAGUAGCAAUACUUAGUGGCAGACGGGUGAGUAACAUGUAGGUAUCUGCCCUUUGGCCUGGAAUAACACGAGGAAACUUGUGCUAAUACCGGAUAAGUCUUUACAGAGAAAGCUUUAUGCACCAUUGGAUGAGCCUGCACUUGAUUAGUUUGUUGGUGGGGUAAUGGCCUACCAAGACUGUGAUCAAUAGCUGAUUUGAGAGGAUGAUCAGCCACAUUGGGACUGAGACACGGCCCAAACUCCUACGGGAGGCAGCAGUGGGGAAUCUUGCACAAUGGAGGAAACUCUGAUGCAGCGAUGCCGCGUGAGUGAAGAAGGCCUUUGGGUUGUAAAGCUCUUUCGUCGGGGAAGAAAAUGACUGUACCCGAAUAAGAAGGUCCGGCUAACUUCGUGCCAGCAGCCGCGGUAAUACGAAGGGACCUAGCGUAGUUCGGAAUUACUGGGCUUAAAGAGUUCGUAGGUGGUUGAAAAAGUUAGUGGUGAAAUCCCAGAGCUUAACUCUGGAACUGCCAUUAAAACUUUUCAGCUAGAGUAUGAUAGAGGAAAGCAGAAUUUCUAGUGUAGAGGUGAAAUUCGUAGAUAUUAGAAAGAAUACCGAUUGCGAAGGCAGCUUUCUGGAUCAUUACUGACACUGAGGAACGAAAGCAUGGGUAGCGAAGAGGAUUAGAUACCCUCGUAGUCCAUGCCGUAAACGAUGUGUGUUAGACGUUGGAAAUUUAUUUUCAGUGUCGCAGGGAAACCGAUAAACACACCGCCUGGGGAGUACGACCGCAAGGUUAAAACUCAAAUGAAUUGACGGGGACCCGCACAAGUAGUGGAGCAUGUGGUUUAAUUCGAAGAUACGCGCAGAACCUUACCAACACUUGACAUGUUCGUCGCGACUCUAAGAGAUUAGAGUUUUCGGUUCGGCCGGACGACACACAGGUGCUGCAUGGCUGUCGUCAGCUCGUGUCGUGAGAUGUUGGGUUAAGUCCCGCAACGAGCGCAACCCUCACUUUUAGUUGCCAUCAUUAAGUUGGGCACUCUGAAAGAACUGCCAGUGAUAAGCUGGAGGAAGGUGGGGAUGACGUCAAGUCCUCAUGGCCCUUACGUGUUGGGCUACACACGUGCUACAAUGGUAUCUACAACAGGAAGCAAAACUGCGAAGUUAAGCAAAUCCCUAGAAGAUACCUCAGUUCGGAUUGCACUCUGCAACUCGAGUGCAUGAAGCUGGAAUUACUAGUAAUCGUGGAUCAGCGUGCCACGGUGAAUGCGUUCCCGGGUCUUGUACACACCGCCCGUCACACCAUGGGAGUUGGUUCUACCUUAAGGCAAGGUUUCAAACCCUUGACCACGGUAUAGUCAGCGACUGGGGUGAAGUCGUAACAAGGUAGCCGUAGGGGAACCUGCGGCUGGAUUACCUCCUUUCU